CACCCGGCUCUGCACGUAGCAAAUGGAGGCGAUUUCCUCCGUAGCGGCACCACAUGGAAAUGACCAAGAAGGGCAAAGCCACCAGACACUCCGUGCAGAAGAGCACUUUUCUCAUCCUGCUCAGGAUGUGGGGCCGGGCACAAAUACACUGUGUGAGAUGCCCAUCAGCCAGUGAGACUGAGAUGUCCGAGGAAACCUUGUACUGACAUGAGGAGCUGCUGCUGGAUGGAUUUCAACUUUGUCUUGGUGCGGAGGAGAGCAGGAAUGYCAUCGAUGCCAGGCAUGAGUAUUUCUGUUCCAGACUCCAGGCAUUAUUGGUUUGGGCCCAGUUCCCCGAAGUCCUUUGCAAACUAAGUGGCUGUACCGAGGUGACCCUUUGGGCAGGUCCGUUGCCCUGCCACCCUCCCUGUUGGGCUGGAUGGCUUCCUGCAUUUCCCAGCCAGCCAAGCCUGCAAAGCUGCUGUCUCCAUGCUCUACACAGAGCACGGUGGGAAUGACAGGCUCUGAGCAYGCUGCCUCACAGCCUCCUGAGCAAAGGUGGCCCCAGGGCACUUCCCACGGAUUUUCCACCCACAGGCACACUGCCCUUCUGGAAGGAAGCAGUCAGCCUUGUUUUGAGCAGCUGCCUUGCAAAUGCAUCCUCUCUCAGUGGAACGCAGCUGCCUGACCCAGGACAAAGCAACCUGCAGCCUCCAGGAGUGGAACAUUGCUGGAAACUGAAAGUGCUGCACACAGACAGAGCGAGCGAUGCUCUUCACCAUCUCCUGUGACAAUCACCUUUCUGCUUUUGUCAGGAAGAGGAAUGAUCUCUCUAGUUUCUUUUUCUGCCUGGUACUGCCUUUGCAUCUUCUGCAGAGCAGAAAUUCAGGAAGGUGGAUGCAGACUUUGGUCUGCUUUGUGGAAUUAUUUCUUGUGUUUUCAGGUUAGCUAAAGGGCUUUCAUUUACAAAUCCUACCUGCUGACUCCAAAACACCUGAGAUCCUCUCAGAUUUUUUGCCAGCACUCCUCAUACUUUUGUGUAGCUCUAAAUAAGAAAUAAUGCUCUUGGAAAAGCUUCUAGCAGCUCCAGAAUGGGUCCCUUGGAAACUUGGUGAGCUAGUUACAAUGCAGAGCUCAGAAGUGCUCUUUCCACAUGUGCUAUCUCUUGGAAGCCAAGGAGGGAUUCCCAGGGCCAGGAAGAGAGAGUGUAUGCCACCAUGUGGCAGCAGAUUCCCAAGUGUGGAGCUCAGGAGGGCUUCAGGCAGGCYCAGCUCAGUGCUCAGGCUGGAGAAUGGCCUGGCCCUCCCAUGCAGAACUUCAGCAGGGAGUUAUGACCUUCUGUGGGCUGACAGGGAUGUGCUGCACAGGCACCCAGUACCAUCUCCAAAGGCACCAGCCACCCACUCCAGGAAGGUACGAUUUGUCUUGCAAUCGAGCAGCCCUGGAAUUUACCACAGAAGACAAUAUUCAUCUGACAAUUUUGUUCCAGUACCAAACACCCAUUAUUCACAGUGACAGCCUCCUCCAGAGCUGAAAAUAAACAAAGAACAAAGUCAAAUCAAGUAGCUUUGGACAGAAAGCACCCUGCCUCAAGGCAGAAGACAACUUCUAAGCAAGAGAGAGAACUUCUGAGGAAGAAACUCCUUUGGAAGGGCAUUAUCCCACUCGUGCAAAGCUUUUUGCCUGUCUCUCAGAAGCAACCAAAAAUUGGCCUGCCAGAAAACUUUGGGCAAGAUGGAGGAUUUGAUCCAAGCUGUUCUUAUCUUCUAUAUUUUCACUGUUAAAAAAAAAAAAAAGGAAAAGUUUCUCAUCUUUCUGGCAAUGAAGAGAGUCCUUAAUAUCUGAAGUUAAUAUAAAAAGCCACUGCAUUGUUCAUAGUYUGAAUUAUGAUGCGACAAGGACUCUGAGCUGUCAUUCAUAUCAACAGGCYCUUAACUAAACUCAGCAAUGGCCACUCAAGCUUUAGCUUCCCUCACUGUUGCAUGUUGCCUGAGGAUGUGUUUGUCCCCUAGGCUCUGUACUGCCCUCCUAGACAGCAAAAUGCCUAUUUCUGCCUCCUAAACAGCUCUUCCAGGGUGUUGCACGGUAACUGCUACACUAUGUCUAUAAAUACAGCACUGUCAGCUUAAAACACAUCUGAAUGUUGAAAGGAGUGGUGUGGGGACAACUACCUCAUUAGGUUACUUGGGUAUUUCAUUUGCUUAAGUGCUGCACUAUAAUUUGAAGGUGUGARUGAAGCUAUUGACAAGUCUGAGAUCCUUUGCCCGAGAGAUCCAGGUAGUCCAAAGGACCCUGUUCCCAAAAAAACUUGGAGUAAACUUGUCUUGAGCAUCUGGAUCCAUGCAAGUUACUGCUAUAUCAAGGUUUAGCUGACUUUGGUUUUUGGGCCCUGAUCACCCCAGGUAUUUUCCAAAUUCUCCAAUUCUUGCUCUUCAGAGCUAAUGUGUCUAAGAGGCCAGACUGUGCUGGCAGAUCUCCAAGGCUGUGUGCUGAUUUGCCCUGAUAGAGACUCCAACCUGUUGUUGCUGUCUGGAAAAACCAGGUCCGUGUGUCCUCGAGAAGAGCACAUAGAAGAUCAGUGUGGACUGGGGCAAAAUGGACCAGAUCUACCCCUUCUCCCUGUGCUUGUGGAAGCUAGAGCAAAGCAUUGACUCAGGAGGCAGGGUGAAAACCAGAUGCUGCACAGAGGAGGAGGAAGGACAUGGGGUCUCCAAUAUCAGGAUGGGAAUGUGGGACCCCCAACUUGCAAAGCUCAUCUGGUUGGGCUCACAUUCCAGCUCACUCUGGCUGGAGAAACAGGUCUUCAUAUAMAGCAGCAAACACUCAAAACAAAGAAAAAAAGCAUUUAAAAAUAUUGUCAUGCCUGGGUGCUCUAGAUGAGUUUUAGUGAAUCUGGAGGUGCCUGCUGUAUGGAGUGCUGUGCUUCUGCUAUGCUGCCCACCAGCUGCAUGGGAGUAGGGCUCGACRCUGUGGGUCACCAGGGACAGUCACCUUAAUCAGCUCAAACCACAGCUUGACUCAGGCCUCCAGCUGUGCCACCCAUCCCAAGGGAAGUCUCUGAAACAGAGAGUGACCGCCCUGAAAAUUCCUCCUGUGGUCACUUUUGUAAAGCCCUGCUCAGCUCAGAGAAGGACGGGCAAAGCAGUUAGUGGCAUGCUGCCCCUAAAAAGCAGAGUGUUUCAUCUGUGAUUCAUUUUGUCUGGGGAUUUGGUCUGCUUUGCUAAUUUGUGGGAAGCCAAUUCAGCAGAAUUGGUAACCAGUUGUUUGCUGAUGCYGCCAUUGGGAUGCAAGUUUGUCGCCUUCCCACCUGGAAGACGUGGGGGAUAUUUAUGCUUGGGGCACAGCAUCAUUUMCUUCAUAAUGUCCUCAGAGAUGUGCAGACGGGCUUCUUGUGUCUGUGGGGCUAGUCUGGCCYGCUUUUUCUUUCUUUCUUUGAAAGAGCAAUAAACACCUUUGGACCACCCCACAGAGGACUGAGUUGUAGCACAUUGUCYUCAGUUUGCCUUCUGCUCCCACUGCCUGUUGUCUUUGCUUCUUUGUGGCAUGUGUGAGGAUGGACAUGUCUGUCCCAAAAAAUUGUCUGCAGUCAUUUUGCAGUCCCUUUGACAUCUGACAGACRACUUGUGGCCCACAGACCACAGGCUGAGAAAUACUGUAUGGGGUGAUGUCUACUGAGUUGCCUCCCACAACUCAGGUUCUCUGAAACACACAGAAAGAAGCAGUUUCUGUCCUGGAAAAGACAUUGCCUUGGGCAGACAAGCAUGGGGGAGGCAAGGGCGGGGACACCCCAACCACCCAGCUAGGCUCUAUUCUCCAGCUCAGGGACCUGACUCUUCCUGAGCUGCUGUCUGAGCAGUCCAGGUGAAGAUUUAGGGGAUCCCGCUUGCAGCUGCGCUGUGACAUGGGGUGGGGAUGCAAAGGGCAGGCAGGUGAGGGAGGCGCAGUGUGGGUCUGUGGUGGGAGGGAGCAGAGGGGAGGAGGGAACUCUCACCAGCCCCACCACCACAGUCCAGCAAUCAAAGCCCAGCCUCUGUAAUUAAUACUAUUUAGCCCAGGUUAGUGGCAGAGGAAAAUGUCUCUUGUCAGCCUGGCUUUGCCCAUUGGCCCUGAUUUAGCAACAUGAAAGCAUUUUUUCUGAUUAACUGUUCACUGAAGGAGAUAAAAGAGAUGACCAUGAAAUGUUUUCUUUAAUGUGAUGAAUGUAAAGGGACUGGUAGAGCUGGAAAGGCUGAGAGGAGAGAAGAGAGAAUGCGCUGACA